UGUUUUAAAAUACAAUUUUAAAAAGAAAGAAUGUACUUCGGAAUCCUGUUCUUAAUAUCGUUACCAAUCGAUCUUUCCCCUGAGCUCUACCUGCUAAAUGUUUGGAUUGCUUCGAGACAGAGAUGAUGGAUGGAUGUGGGUAAAGAUGCCUUCGACACUAAUCCAAUCGGUCCUCAUCAUCAACAAGAUCAAGCCUGUGGAAAUGAUAUGCAAAUUUAUGGACACAUCUCGCUCACACCGAUGCAGAGACCCUGUGAAGCAGAGGGAACUCCUCACCGAACCUGACAGUUGUAAAUCUCAUUAAAAGGUUAUUGACUCCCUGGAGCAGAAGGCACGAGGAUUAAAAGGAGAGGUGCAGGACAACAGGAGAGAACAAAAAAGUGUUCUAACCCCAUCUCGGGCUGGUUAAAUUUUCUUUCUUUUUACGCUUCAAUUAAUACAAAAGUGUCUUCGCUCAACGGGACCCUCUACCUCUAUUUAGGACUGCAAGUCUCUGACAACGCAAUUGACAGAGGAGUUAACCUAAACCCCCGGACAAUAAAAAUCUGGCAAGUCUAAGGCUUCCUCAAUUUAUGCAAAUUAAUUUAGAAAUGUUUCUCUGUCCACCCUCAAGUGCCAAGGAGAUAUACAUCAAACGGACUGAAAAAAAGGAACGGGUCUGGUGGAAAUUCGGGGAGGCGGAGAGAAAGUGUACACGACUUUUAUAAUUAAGAAUGCAUAUCAAGUGGCAAAUACCAAAGAUGCUUACCUUUCGAGUGGAAUCCCUGCACUUUACCGAUUAAAAACAAAAGGGCUAGGAGUCUCGGCAUCGUCAGCAGUUGAAGUAAAAGGAUAACUGGUAACUUCAAAAAGCAUGCUAACGCAUCGCAAGACGGCAUCAAGGAAAUCAACUUUCACCGAAUGCAAAUAAAGUAAAAGCAUCCUGAACCUCAAAUGAGGGGUUUCCAAUAGGUGAAGGGGCAUCCGGGUGGUGUACGCACUUUUCGCAGUAACGCAUAAUACGGUCAAUGAACUGGGAAAAAUACAAGACAAAAGCACAGGCUCUGACUGACUUUGCAAGAGUCCUGCUGUCAACUGCAAGUCCUGUGAGAAUGCAGGUUAGAGUUAACCAAGUGCACGGGAAAUAAUUUAUUGUACUAUUUCUAUAAAAUUAUAGGUUUUAGUUGAAGAAUCUGUUUAGAGUUCAGCA